rnacentral:snRNA from 11 species
AGCUUUGCGCAGUGGCAGUAUCGUAGCCAAUGAGGUUUAUCCAAGGUGCAAUUAUUGCUAAUUGAAAACUUUGGUUUUCAUAUCAUUCAAAAAAAUUUAAUGAUUUCCUACUAAAUUCCAGGUAUUACAGUAGAACCUGGCACAUAAUCUUUGUUAUGAUGACACAUA